AGAGCACGUAAUUCUGAUUGGUGCAAC
rnacentral:piRNA from 1 species